UAUCACUAGCGCCAAAACGUCUGAUUUUCAGCUGCCAGCGUUUGCAGUGUCCGACUGUACCGGACUCUCCCGGUGACCAUGCUGCUCUGGGAACCGGCGGCGCAGCGAGAGACCGCUGCUGACGAACGGACGCAGAGCUCUCCGUCCGCCGAAGCUCCGACUGCUGUUGGUCUGCGUGGCGGGCCGCGCCGCCUCUCUGUAUUUAAUUGAGACAAUUUCAUAACCAGUAAAAAUAAAAACGUCUCGUAUGUCGCGUUAAAUACUUUCCCCCGGUUUUGGUACAGUUAAUUUUAACGCCUGAUGCGAGCCAUGUCGGAGUAGCCCACGCAUGAAAAUCAAAGUUGUGAGAGCUUUAGCGGCAUUGCCCUGACAUGUAGAAACGUCGUCUCACUCUGCCUCUCCGCUGAGGCCCGGUCACCUAACAGCAGCAGUUAAACUGUAUUAUUUUCACACUCUGAUGGUUACAUUUGCAACAAUAUGCGGUUCACAUGCAUGCCGAACUGUAGGGGCAGUCUGUUACUCUACAUCACUGACAAUUUAUUUAUCAAUAUUUCAAAAUAGAAAACGUUACACUUCAUAAUGUUUUGUGUCAUGGUAGCUGCGCCGUAUAUUUUCCUGCUUUUUUUGUCCUUUGCCAAUCACACCUAAGAUAAAACUAUAAAAACUCACUUGUGCAUUGCUAUGUUCCAAGGUAAUAUGAUCAGUGACACCAAAAUUAUUAAGAUCUUUUGACAUGUAUAGUGUCUCCUAUGCCACUAAUUAGGCCAUGGUAAAGCUAAUAAAGUAAAGAAAUAUAAUCAUUUGAUAUGACCGGUGUGGUCACCAGGACAUGCUGAGUACCCUCCAGGAUGAAAUAAAGAGUUGAGACUAGAGGCCAUUAGAGCUGUUCUUCUCAAAGCCCAGGAACAUUAAAUGUCCAAAAUCAGGGUGCAAAGUCUCUCAAAAGGAAGGUAGAGAGAGUUAGAAAAUAAUAUAUCUUAUUGUCCACCAUGACAAGUUGUCUGUUUAACUUCAGACAGUGAGCUGGAUUACCUUUACUCUUUUGCCCAAGUAAAGUAUAUCUGCAAUUUAUUUUCACCAUAUGACCUGUCAGGUAUCAUCCAGUAGAAACUAUUUUAAUUCAGUAACUUAAUUUAUUUGAUCCGCUGCACUUUGGAUCGAUAGACUGAGAUUAAAAAUGAUGUCUAAUGGAUGUUU